GAUGAACGCUAGCGAUAGGCUUAACACAUGCAAGUCGAGGGGCAGCACAAGGUAGCUUGCUAUCUGGGUGGCGACCGGCGCACGGGUGCGUAACGCGUAUGCAACUUGCCCUAUACAGGAGGAUAACCCGUCGAAAGACGGACUAAUACUGCGUAUGCUCACAACUUGGCAUCAAGUGGUGAGGAAAGAAAUUCGGUAUAGGAUAGGCAUGCGUCCCAUUAGCUUGUUGGUGAGGUAACGGCUCACCAAGGCAACGAUGGGUAGGGGAACUGAGAGGUUUAUCCCCCACACUGGUACUGAGACACGGACCAGAAUCCUACGGGAGGCAGCAGUGAGGAAUAGUGGUCAAUGGGCGCGAGCCUGAACCAGCCAAGUCGCGUGAAGGAAGACUGUCUUAUGGAUUGUAAACUUCUUUUAUACGGGAAUAACAAGAGUCACGUGUGACUCCCUGCAUGUACCGUAUGAAUAAGCAUCGGCUAACUCCGUG
rnacentral:rRNA from 1 species